UCAACAUAAAAACAGUUGUCCUUGUCACCUUGUCCGAUAGCACAUGUGUAAAAGAUCGCAAUUUGGAUUGGAUCCUUAAAAAAAAAAGAGUAGAUAGAAUCCUUGAUACAGAUGCAGCACUGCUGCAUCAGUAAACUAAUCACCUCAUUGUGAAAUUACCCAAUUAAUGCCAACUCUCACACAAUAGACUUGUGUGUAAAUAAACCAGGUUCGGCAAUUGAGAGCAACUUGAAACAACUACAGCAAUGAAACAGGCAAUUGAAGCGUCACAAUCUGGCCACCUAGCUGGAAAGACUUUUUCACAGCAAACUUGUCAGGUUUAGCUGCAUGAGUAUUGAGUAAACAACAGCUGGCCUUCCCUUGGGAAAAAUUGGGCAAAUACACCAAUUGGGUGCACUGAAAGCGUUUAGCCAACAACCGUCAGCCGCAUUGAAAAGAAAAAUCAUCUGGUUGGCGUCACGGAGUCGUACGGCGUUAGAUUCUACUAUUUGUUCAGCAACGACUGUGCGCCUCUUUGCAUCUUUCAAGAGGUUUCCUUGGCUGCUACAAUACCGGUAGAAGAGAAAUACGUUACCCAACAGAUUUUGAAGCUCAUUGUAGUGUCACCGGAUGUAAAUUUACUUUAGUCGUUAAAUUCCAUCAACUUCUGUCUGUGGCAAAUAUAUUAACUAUACCCUGUUCCACGACUUUCAAUCUGGAUUGAACGAAAUAACCAUUACCAUUUCUUACCCAUAGCCGCAGGUUAUGCCGUCGGACUGGACUUACUGCGUGGAUUCCAUUUCACUCUGUUCGGUACAUGUAUUUGAAAAAUAACCCACUUUCUGUGGUAGGACAGAAUGGCUGACACUAGCAGAUUCCGCGGGCAGAGUUGCAGCACACGGCAGCAUCAGCGACAUACUUAAGGAGAACCGUCCACCCGUGCUGCAAUCCUAUCAAUUCUUAUUUAGUUAUUCUCAGUUAUGAUAAAGUAACUUUGGUUUUCUUUUCGACCAAUUAACUAUUCCGAUUUUUUAUUCAAACUAUUUUAGGAGGCCAUUAGAAAAGGAACUUUCUGUGAUUGUAUUGACUAAGUAAACUAUUGAAAUAUACAGGGGAGCUGAUGAAUCAAAAU